UACGGAGGGGGCGAGCGUUGUUCGGAAUCACUGGGCGUAAAGCGCGUGUAGGCGGCCUCUUAAGUCUGAUGUGAAAGCCCGGGGCUCACCCCCGGAAGUGCAUUGGAUACUGGGGGGCUGGAGUACCGGAGAGGAGGGUGGAAUUCCUGGUGUAGCGGUGAAAUGCGUAGAUAUCAGGAGGAACACCGGUGGCGAAGGCGGCCCUCUGGACGGAUACUGACGCUGAGACGCGACAGCGUGGGGAGCAAACAGG
rnacentral:rRNA from 1 species